UGUAACCGGGGAGGGCGCAGCAGUCGAUCAUCGUAUGCUGCUGCGUUUGACACUGGUUGCG
rfam:Pseudomonas sp. M30-35, complete genome.